rnacentral:rRNA from 1 species
UACGUAGGGGGGCUAGCGUUGUCCGGAAUCAUUGGGCGUAAAGAGCGCGUAGGCGGCCAGAUAAGUCCGGUGUGAAAGUCACAGGCUCAACCUGUGAAUGCCGCUGGAAACUGUCUGGCUAGAGUCCGGGAGGGGCGAGUGGAAUUCCUGGUGUAGCGGUGAAAUGCGCAGAUAUCAGGAGGAACACCAAUGGCGAAGGCAGCUCGCUGGAACGGUACUGACGCUGAGGCGCGAAAGCCAGGGGAGCAAACGGG